GGGUGACAUCGGCAGGGCGGGGUCUCCAGGAUACAGAGGAGAUGAGGGCGCCCCCGGACCAGAGGGCCCCAAAGGACCAAGAGGAAUCAAAGGAGCUCCUGGAGACAGAGGCCAGAUCGGAAGCAGGGGAGAAGAUGGGGCACCAGGAAAUGGAACUGAAGGUUGCCAUGGUUUCCAGGGUUACCCCGGCCAACGAGGGGGCAUUGGAGAGGCGGUGAGUUCACCUUUCACCUAU